GGCCUGGCUGGCACAUGAUGCUUUCUGUUCAAAACAAUGAUGUUGCAAGGCAAGGCUUUAAAGUCCUGUUGGGAAACACGGGUAGCUGGGGCUGUGGGUGGUGGGGAGAGGAGCAACCUUCAUCCAGGGAUGCUUGAAAGCAAAGGAGCCCCCAGCCCGGGCCGGGCAGGCAGAGCCCGAGCUCUGCACAGCGGGAGAGGUCGCUCCUGGAGCCAAGGUAGAUCCAGCCCUUGCUGGAGGACGGGGACAGAGAGAGGCCAAGAAGGUCUUGCAGAGGAGACUCAACCUGGAACAGGCAAAGGAAAUGAAAGCUGUGCAGAAAACACCUGGGUAAAUGCCCUGUCACCCUUGUGCCUCGCAGUCUGCUUCAGGCUCUUCCAAAGCUGCUCUGUUGCUGGCCAGAGGCUGCUGAUCAAAGGGAAGCCAAAGGAGAGCCACACCACUGUUUCUCUGGGCGGCGAAGCCCGGCGCUGCGCAGUGCACAGGAUCUGGCCCCUCUGGCAUAGGGCCAGGAGCACCCUGGCUGCUCUGAUAGGCAUCGUCCUCCCUGGGAACCUGCAGCUCCCUGCGUGGAUGAGUCACGAGCCCAAGCAGUGAAAGCCAGUAAUCCGAAACACAUGUUGUUCAAAUUCAGUGAUGACUGUAAAAAUAAGGGUCCAAUUUCUCUGGCUGCCGAGCCUCCCACGUUAACCAAAGUGCUCCAGUUUCCUGCCUGAUGGCAAGGGUGACCUUCCACACAGUGACCCAGCGCUCUCCAAGGAGCCUGGGGCACAGCAGGAAGAAUAAAGGGUAGCGAGAACUUGCAUAACUCCCAUCCAGCCCGCCAGGAAAACAAGGGGCUGGUUGGGAUUUGCAUUGCGGGCCUUUUAUGUUGGCUUUUUUGUGUGUGUGACGGUGGAAAUUAGCUCCCCUGCUCCUGGCUGAGGGUGCCUGGAGCCUCCCCUGGCUGGGAAAAAAAAACUCCAGGGUGUAAGGGGGGGAACCCGGCCAAGCUGUGACCCCAAAGGUGACCCCACAGCCGGGUGCUGGCCUCCACCCCAUAGGGGCUUGGGUGCACCGGGGCUGCCGGUGGUCUGCCCACGGGGGCUCUGUGCUGGCCGGGGAGCGAGGAUGGGAACGGAGCCCGGGGACGUGGCCACUCUCAUGGCACAUCUGGAUCUCGCUGCAACCAUUUCCACGUUUCUGACUCACCCCGCUUGGAAAUUUGUCUCCGCUCAGGAGGAAAUUCCAUCAAACGCAGAAAUCUUUGCGAACACACUGACGGAGGUGUCCCUGGCGCUGGGGCUGGACAAGGCUGGUGCUCAGCAGCCCGGGACAGCCCCGUUGCAGCGCUUUGCCUUGCCGGGAGCCUCCUGCACCGUGCUCAGCACCAGCGGGGCGGUGGGGCUGGGGGCACAACAAACCCAGCUGCCGAGCAAACGUCGGGGUUGAGUGACUCAAAGCGGUCGGUGGCUCUGAGCCCCUGCUGCCAGCUCAAGGUUUUGGGUCCAAUCCAGCCCGGCUGGAGGUGCUGUGGCUCUGGGCAGGCUGCAGGAGCCGCCCAGUCCCUUGCUGCCUUGCAGCGAGGCUGGGAACCCCACAGCCCCGCCGCAGCCCAGGUCUCCGUCCAGCAGAGCCGCGCUUGGGAAGAGUGUGGAUAAGUGAACCCAGCACGUGGCUGCUUUAGCUGGCAGAACCAUUUCACCAGCAGGGCUGUGUCUGCGGGUGUGUGACACAUAAAUCGCUGCUGUGACCUGGUCGGAGCAGAGACCGAGGCAGGUCGGGAGCCCGGCUCUGGCUGGGACGGCUGCCAGCGCCUGUCUGGGUGAGAUGUGCUGGCUGCGCUCAGCUGGGGUCGGUGGGAAAUCCCUGCUGGAUGCCUCCUGACCUCCACUGGAACACAGCAAUUGUUCCUCUGGAAAAUCUAAAUUUAUCCCUGCGACGGUGACGGCAUAAUUCACACAUGCCCCAUUCCCCUUUCAUUGGAGUCUCCCUCACGCCUGCUCUUUCUAACAAUAAAGCGACGCUGUGAGCAACCUUCCCGUCAAUUCGCAUCCCUCCCAGCCCUCCCGGUGACGUGAGCGCAGGGCUGAGCAGCUGCAGGAAUGCAAUCUGAGUUCAGACGGGGCUGAACUUUCGCACAGUGACCCAGGGGUCAGCGUGGGAAGGAGAGGGAUGGAGCAUGGCAGAGAACAAAGACGCUCAUCGCAGCCCGCACGCCUGGUGUGGUGCUGUGCCCGGGCACUGCCUCUCUGCUUGGGCUGGGGACACCACAGGGAAGGGAGGGUGCAAGGAAUAAAAUGCAAGUCACUCACUGAAAGAAGAAAUCUGGGGGAUGAAGGACCGCAG
rnacentral:lncRNA from 1 species